rnacentral:rRNA from 1 species
AGCGGCGGACGGGUGAGUAACGCGGUGGGUAACCUGCCUCAUACAGGGGGAUAACAGUUAGAAAUAGCUGCUAAUACCGCAUAAGCGCACAGUUCCGCAUGGAACAGUGUGAAAAACUCCGGUGGUACAAGAUGGACCCGCGUCUGAUUAGCUGGUUGGUGAGGUAACGGCCCACCAAGGCAACGAUCAGUAGCCGGCCUGAGAGGGUGAACGGCCACAUUGGGACUGAGACACGGCCCAAACUCCUACGGGAGGCAGCAUG